rnacentral:lncRNA from 1 species
AUGACUGGGAGGCCUUCCCCCACUUGCUCUGGCCCCCCACAGCCAGUCUGUCCCCCAUGGCAGUGCCCAGCAUCCUGGGCACUUCUUGCCUGUAUGUCGCCUGUCUGUUGUUCUAGAUUGAAGAAAGUUCUGGAAGGCGGAACCUGGAGUGAUGUAUUCACUUCUGUGACCCAGGACCAAGAUCUAUGCUGGGCAGGAGAUGCCCUGGAGAAUGAGCCAACCCUCGCUGGGCCCUCUCAACGCUGUUCUCGAAGGCCGCAGGGAAGGGGUGAGGGGCAGGCCGGUGUGCAGACACCUCCCCACCCCUCCCCUGCCCCUUCCCCAGCCUUCCUGGCACCCGGCAUGGCUUUGCCCUCCUCCUGUCCACGCCACCCGCCGCUGGAGGUGGGGAGAGACUCCAGGGGCCGCGGCCCCUUCCUGCGCAGGCUGAGGGCCUCCAAGGCCGCAAAGGGCGCCACUCGGGCCCAGAGAUGCAUAUGCGCCAGGACACCCGCUGGAGCCUGGUGGCCCCUGGUGGCCCCGAGCAGAGCUGCCCGCUGCCCUCAGGAAAACGGAUCAAUAAAUAAUGAAGUGCGUGCAGCCUUCAGAAAGAACAGACCACUUCACAGGCAGUGA